rnacentral:tRNA from 2 species
UCUUGGUUAGAUAAGUUGUUAGAGCUCUCCACUGGAAAUGGAGAGGUCCCUGGUUCGAUACCAGGACAAGGCA